rnacentral:sRNA from 1 species
AUUCUAGUAAAAGGACUCCAGCAUCAACGUUCCUCCUGCAGGUCUGGGUUCUCAGAGAAAGAAAACGUGAUGCAGCAGAGGAUGGGAUUGAAGAAACAGGAGAGUGAAGUGGAAAUAGCCUGGCCCGCGUGACUUAAACCGGCCCGGAGAUGUGCGGGUAUGAACGCUGCUGUCCGUGCCGUGGUGCGCAUGGGUAUCUACGUGGGGGCCAAGGUGUACUUCAUCUACGAGGGCUACCAGGGCAUGGUGGACGGAGGCUCAAACAUCGCAGAGGCCGACUGGGAGAGUGUCUCCAGCAUCCUGCAAGUGGGCGGGACGAUCAUUGGCAGUGCGCGGUGCCAGGCCUUCCGCACGCGGGAAGGCCGCCUGAAGGCUGCUUGCAACCUGCUGCAGCGUGGCAUCACCAACCUGUGUGUGAUCGGCGGGGACGGGAGCCUCACCGGGGCCAACAUCUUCCGGAAGGAGUGGAGUGGGCUGCUGGAGGAGCUGGCCAGGAACGGCCAGAUCGAUAAGGAGGCCGUGCAGAAGUAUGCCUACCUCAACGUGGUGGGCAUGGUGGGCUCCAUCGACAAUGACUUCUGUGGCACCGACAUGACCAUCGGCACGGACUCCGCCCUGCACAGGAUCAUCGAGGUCGUCGACGCCAUCAUGACCACGG